rfam:Lactobacillus lindneri DSM 20690 = JCM 11027 strain DSM 20690 NODE_50, whole genome shotgun sequence.
GGAAGAUUAGCUCAGCUGGGAGAGCAUCUGCCUUACAAGCAGGAGGUCACAGGUUCGAUCCCUGUAUCUUCCA